rnacentral:rRNA from 1 species
UACGUAGGGGGCAAGCGUUGUCCGGAUUUAUUGGGCGUAAAGAGCUCGUAGGCGGCUUGUCGCGUCGACUGUGAAAACCCGCGGCUCAACCGCGGGCCUGCAGCCGAUACGGGCAGGCUAGAGUUCGGGUAGGGGAGACUGGAAUUCCUGGUGUAGCGGUGAAAUGCGCAGAUAUCAGGAGGAAUACCGAUGGCGAAGGCAGGUCUCUGGGCUGACACUGACGCUCAUGCACGAAAGCGUGGGGAGCAACAGG